rnacentral:rRNA from 1 species
AGUGAACGCUGGCGGCGUGCCUAAUACAUGCAAGUCGAACGGAGUGGCGCACGGGUGAGUAAUAUAUAGCUAAUCUGCCCCUUGCUGGAGGACAACAGUUAGAAAUGACUGCUAAUACUCCAUAGCAAGGGAUGAGACUAUAUCGUAUCAGCUAGUCGGUGGGGUAACGGCCUACCGAGGCUAUGACGCGUACCUGGUCUGAGAGGAUGAUCAGUUACAUUGGAACUGAGACACGGUCAAGACUCCUACGGGAGGCAGCAGUAGUGAAUAGUGCGCAACGGGGGAAGCACUGACGCAGCACGGGCGCGGGGAGGAUGACACUUUUCGGAGCGUAAACACCUUUUGUUAGGGAAGCGGUACCUAACGAGUAAGCACCGGCUAACGCCGUGCCAGACGCCGCGGUAAUUC